AUUGAACGCUGGCGGCAUGCCUUACACAUGCAAGUCGAACGGUAACAGGUCUUCGGAUGCUGACGAGUGGCGAACGGGUGAGUAAUACAUCGGAACGUGCCUAGUAGUGGGGGAUAACUACUCGAAAGAGUGGCUAAUACCGCAUGAGAUCUACGGAUGAAAGCAGGGGAUCGCAAGACCUUGUGCUACGAGAGCGGCCGAUGGCAGGUUAGGUAGUUGGUGGGAUAAAAGCUUACCAAGCCGACGAUCUGUAGCUGGUCUGAGAGGACGAUCAGCCACACUGGGACUGAGACACGGCCCAGACUCCUACGGGAGGCAGCAGUGGGGAAUUUUGGACAAUGGGCGAAAGCCUGAUCCAGCAAUGCCGCGUGCAGGAUGAAGGCCUUCGGGUUGUAAACUGCUUUUGUACGGAACGAAAAGCCCCGGGUUAAUACCCUGGGGUCAUGACGGUACCGUAAGAAUAAGCACCGGCUAACUACGUGCCAGCCGCCGCAGUAA
rnacentral:rRNA from 1 species